UUAAGCGACUAAGCGUACACGGUGGAUGCCCUGGCAGUCAGAGGCGAUGAAGGACGUGCUAAUCUGCGAUAAGCGUCGGUGAGGUGAUAUGAACCGUUAUAACCGGCGAUUUCCGAAUGGGGAAACCCAGUGUGUUUCGACACACUAUCAUUAACUGAAUCCAUAGGUUAAUGAGGCGAACCGGGGAACUGAAACAUCUAAGUACCCCGAGGAAAGAAAUCAACCGAGAUUCCCCAGUAGCGGCGAGCGAACGGGGAGGAGCCCAGAGCCUGAAUCAGUGUGUGUGUUAGUGGAAGCGUCUGGAAAGGCGCGCGAUACAGGGUGACAGCCCGUACACAAAAAUGCACAUAUUGUGAGCUCGAUGAGUAGGGCGGGACACGUGGUAUCCUGUCUGAAUAUGGGGGGACCAUCCUCCAAGGCUAAAUACUCCUGACUGACCGAUAGUGAACCAGUACCGUGAGGGAAAGGCGAAAAGAACCCCGGCGAGGGGAGUGAAAAAGAACCUGAAACCGUGUACGUACAAGCAGUGGGAGCCUCUUAAUGGGGUGACUGCGUACCUUUGUAUAAUGGGUCAGCGACUUAUAUUCUGUAGCAAGGUUAACCGAAUAGGGGAGCCGAAGGAAACCGAGUCUUAACUGGGCGUUAAGUUGCAGGGUAUAGACCCGAAACCCGGUGAUCUAGCCAUGGGCAGGUUGAAGGUUGGGUAACACUAACUGGAGGACCGAACCGACUAAUGUUGAAAAAUUAGCGGAUGACUUGUGGCUGGGGUGAAAGGCCAAUCAAACCGGGAGAUAGCUGGUUCUCCCGAAAGCUAUUUAGGUAGCGCCUCGUGAAUUCAUCUCCGGGGUAGAGCACUGUUUCGGCAAGGGGUCAUCCCGACUUACCAACCCGAUGCAAACUGCGAAUACCGGAGAAUGUUAUCACGGGAGACACACGGCGGGUGCUAACGUCCGUCGUGAAGAGGGAAACAACCCAGACCGCCAGCUAAGGUCCCAAAGUCAUGGUUAAGUGGGAAACGAUGUGGGAAGGCCCAGACAGCCAGGAUGUUGGCUUAGAAGCAGCCAUCAUUUAAAGAAAGCGUAAUAGCUCACUGGUCGAGUCGGCCUGCGCGGAAGAUGUAACGGGGCUAAACCAUGCACCGAAGCUGCGGCAGCGACACUAUGUGUUGUUGGGUAGGGGAGCGUUCUGUAAGCCUGUGAAGGUGUACUGUGAGGUAUGCUGGAGGUAUCAGAAGUGCGAAUGCUGACAUAAGUAACGAUAAAGCGGGUGAAAAGCCCGCUCGCCGGAAGACCAAGGGUUCCUGUCCAACGUUAAUCGGGGCAGGGUGAGUCGACCCCUAAGGCGAGGCCGAAAGGCGUAGUCGAUGGGAAACAGGUUAAUAUUCCUGUACUUGGUGUUACUGCGAAGGGGGGACGGAGAAGGCUAUGUUGGCCGGGCGACGGUUGUCCCGGUUUAAGCGUGUAGGCUGGUUUUCCAGGCAAAUCCGGAAAAUCAAGGCUGAGGCGUGAUGACGAGGCACUACGGUGCUGAAGCGACAAAUGCCCUGCUUCCAGGAAAAGCCUCUAAGCAUCAGGUAACAUCAAAUCGUACCCCAAACCGACACAGGUGGUCAGGUAGAGAAUACCAAGGCGCUUGAGAGAACUCGGGUGAAGGAACUAGGCAAAAUGGUGCCGUAACUUCGGGAGAAGGCACGCUGAUAUGUAGGUGAAGCGACUUGCUCGUGGAGCUGAAAUCAGUCGAAGAUACCAGCUGGCUGCAACUGUUUAUUAAAAACACAGCACUGUGCAAACACGAAAGUGGACGUAUACGGUGUGACGCCUGCCCGGUGCCGGAAGGUUAAUUGAUGGGGUUAGCGGUAACGCGAAGCUCUUGAUCGAAGCCCCGGUAAACGGCGGCCGUAACUAUAACGGUCCUAAGGUAGCGAAAUUCCUUGUCGGGUAAGUUCCGACCUGCACGAAUGGCGUAAUGAUGGCGAGGCUGUCUCCACCCGAGACUCAGUGAAAUUGAACUCGCUGUGAAGAUGCAGUGUACCGCGGCAAGACGGAAAGACCCCGUGAACCUUUACUAUAGCUUGACACUGAACAUUGAGCCUUGAUGUGUAGGAUAGGUGGGAGGCUUUGAAGUGUGGACGCCAGUCUGCAUGGAGCCGACCUUGAAAUACCACCCUUUAAUGUUUGAUGUUCUAACGUGGGCCCCUUACCGGGGUUGCGGACAGUGUCUGGUGGGUAGUUUGACUGGGGCGGUCUCCUCCUAAAGAGUAACGGAGGAGCACGAAGGUUGGCUAAUCCUGGUCGGACAUCAGGAGGUUAGUGCAAUGGCAUAAGCCAGCUUGACUGCGAGCGUGACGGCGCGAGCAGGUGCGAAAGCAGGUCAUAGUGAUCCGGUGGUUCUGAAUGGAAGGGCCAUCGCUCAACGGAUAAAAGGUACUCCGGGGAUAACAGGCUGAUACCGCCCAAGAGUUCAUAUCGACGGCGGUGUUUGGCACCUCGAUGUCGGCUCAUCACAUCCGGGGCUGAAGUAGGUCCCAAGGGUAUGGCUGUUCGCCAUUUAAAGUGGUACGCGAGCUGGGUUUAGAACGUCGUGAGACAGUUCGGUCCCUAUCUGCCGUGGGCGCUGGAGAACUGAGGGGGGCUGCUCCUAGUACGAGAGGACCGGAGUGGACGCAUCACUGGUGUUCGGGUUGUCAUGCCAAUGGCACUGCCCGGUAGCUAAAUGCGGAAGAGAUAAGUGCUGAAAGCAUCUAAGCACGAAACUUGCCCCGAGAUGAGUUCUCCCUGACUCCUUGAGAGUCCUGAAGGAACGUUGAAGACGACGACGUUGAUAGGCCGGGUGUGUAAGCGCAGCGAUGCGUUGAGCUAACCGGUACUAAUGAACCGUGAGGCUUAACCU
rnacentral:rRNA from 1 species